AGUGAACGCUGGCGGUAGGCCUAAUACAUGCAAGUCGAACGGCAGCACAGUAAGAGUUUGCUCCUACGGGUGGCGAGUGGCGGACGGGUGAGGCAUACAUCGGAUACCACUUUUUCGUGGGGGAUAACGUAGGGCAACUUAUGCUAAUACAGCAUAUGUUGUACGGGAGAAAGCAGGGGAUCUUCGCACUUUUGGCGACUGAUUGAGACGAUGCCGGAUUAGCUAGUUGGGGGGGUAAAGGCCCACCAAGGCGACGAUGCGUAGCUGGUCUGAGAGGAUGAUCAGCCACACUGGAACUGAGACACGGUCCAGACUCCUACGGGAGGCAGCAGUGGGGAAUAUUGGGCAAUGGGCGCAAGCCUGAUCCAGCCAUGCCGCGUGAGUGAAGAAGGCCUUCGGGUUGUAAAGCCCUUUUGUUGGGAAAGAAAAGCAGCAGGUUAAUACCCCGCUGUUCUGACGGUACCCAAAGAAUAAGCACCGGCUAACUUCGUG
rnacentral:rRNA from 1 species